UCAGUUUUCAGAGUGGAGCUGUCACCCCACCCACAGAGACAGACCCCCGGGCAGUAUUGAGGGGAGAGGGCAGCGGCAUUAGAUUGGAUGAAGGAAGAUUUAUUUUAGAACCAAGUUCUUGGGAGGUCAUUUUCAUCGUGCACCUCGGGAAAGGGGAUGGGAUUUUGGAGGUGUUCUUGCCUCUUCCUGUCGGUUGACCCUCCCAGAUGCUGAGCUCAGUUGGGUAGUUUGAAUGCCUCUCCCAAGUUCUGCCCCUGAGGCUGGGGAAAAGUGGACCUUUUUAUCCCUCUCUCAUACCCAAAUUCUGGGACAAGGCAAAACAUGGACCUGGUCCACAAGGAAAAGGUAGACUGGUAGGCACAGGACACAGCCAGUCCCUGCUUCUGUGUGUGGGCUACUGUAAGCUGGUUUCCUUACCCAGGCCAAACAGCUGUCUCAGGAAGAGACAGGGGCCUGGGCAGGUGAGACAGGAAAACUGGGUGUUUUCCAAAAGAGCCCUCACUCAUUUUCUUUUUCUAUCUUUCCGAACACUCCACCAGGAAGAGAUCUGGCCUCUAGAAACGGCUUUCUUCUGAGAGUUGCCCCUUGUCCAUUGCCAUGUAUAACUUCAUAGAGGAAAAGCCAACGUUCUUGACAGCUGUCUGUGACAGCUCCCCUGAUGGUGAUCUACUGGACUUUCCUCUGGAAGGAGCAUUGCCUGAGCAGGUUUGUGGGUUGCUCCUGCCACCUACAGGCUGCUGUUGCUCAUCACUGGGACCACGACUCCACCGUGGACAGCCCCUUCAACCAAACACAACAUGGUUGAAGGCUGGGAGACUGAGACGUAGAGCAACGAGCAGAACCUGGGAUUUUCACCUUGUUAGGUUGACUUCAGAGCCUGAUUUCUUGCCCAAGAGGCCUUUUCAGAGUCCAGGGGCUAUACCUCCCAGUGUGCGCCGCAUCUGCGCAGAGGCAAGAACGACCCAAACCUGGCUUGGUAACGAUGCAAGGGUGUCAAGUCCAGCAGGGUGUAGGGCUGAGCUGAGAGGUCCCGACGCCUCGCCCCUUCUAGGAAGUGGAGGCGACCGGACUCGACCAGCGAAGGAGAAAUGCACCGCCAGGACAAGCGGCUCAGAUGGCGGAGGUUUGUUCCGCGCAUCUAGGCGGCGGCAGCCGAGGUCGGGCCGGGCGGCGCAACCGGCGCAACCCGCUGCCACCGAGGUGGUGAUGGGCAAGGAGGAGGAGAUUGCGCGGAUCGCCCGGAGGCUGGACAAGAUGGUGACCAGGAAGAGCGCGGAGGGAGCCAUGGAUUUGCUGCGGGAGCUGAAGGCCAUGCCUGUUACAUUACACCUGCUCCAGUCCACCCGUGUUGGAAUGUCUGUCAAUGCCCUACGGAAGCAGAGCUCGGACGAGGAGCUCAUUGCGCUGGCCAAGUCCCUCAUCAAAUCCUGGAAGAAGCUCUUGGAUGUUUCUGAUGGCAAGACCAGGGAUCAAGGGAGGGGCACACCUCUGCCCACAUCGUCCUCAAAGGAUGCCUCAGGGACUACGGAUCUCAGCUGCAAGAAGCCAGACCCACCUAGAACUUCAUCCACUCCGAGGAUCACCACAUUUCCCCCAGUGCCCAUCACCUGUGAUGCUGUACGAAACAAAUGCCGUGAAAUGCUGACUUUGGCCCUGAAAACGGACCAUGACCACAUGGCCGUCGGUGUAGACUGUGAGCAUCUGUCAGCUCAGAUCGAGGAGUGCAUCUUCCUGGAUGUGGGAAAUACAGACAUGAAGUACAAGAACCGUGUGCGGAGCCGAAUCUCCAACCUGAAAGAUGCCAAGAACCCUGGCCUGCGGCGGAAUGUGCUGUGUGGUGCCAUUACACCCCAGCAGAUAGCUGUGAUGACAUCAGAGGAGAUGGCCAGUGAUGAGCUGAAGGAGAUCCGCAAGGCCAUGACCAAGGAGGCCAUCCGUGAACAUCAGAUGGCCCGUACAGGUGGCACACAGACCGACCUGUUCACCUGCAGCAAGUGCAGGAAGAAGAACUGCACCUACACGCAGGUUGGGGUCCACUCUAUCUUCCUUGGCUGGGACCUCAGGGCACACCCAUCCUCUUCUUGGAUACCACCCAUGUCCCUAUUUUUGCUGGUCUGGGGUUCUGUGGCAGGGCUAGGUGGCUUGGCCCUGCCCAGCAUGGAGAGACAGGAGUGCAGUAUUCUGUUUGGCUGUGGGACCUUCAGACCUUGCUAUGGAGGGGGAGGCUGAAGUAUUCCGGGGAGACCAUGUGUACUCCAAGAGAUAUUGGGUACUUGGGAAGAGGUGAGUGAAUUAAGAUGGUCUCUUUGGUAGAUUGUUCCAGGGCUUGUGGAAGCUGCCAUCAUCUGUAAUAGGGCAUGCAUGAGGGCAGGAUAGCUCAGUCCUCACUACUUAUAAGAACUGGCCCUGUGAGAUAAGGUUUUCUCUUGGGUCUCCCAGAUGGCCAGGGCCACUGGCAUCUCUGCUGAUCCUUUCACUAUAUAGACCCUCCUGUUGGGAAUUCUGUACUUAUCUGACAUUCUGGACUCUACUGAGCCCAGUUGUUCAGGCCCAUAGGCCUAGUUCUAAAAGGUUGAGGUCACUGGGAAAUUUCAAAUCAAGUCAUCAGUAGAGAUCAAGGGGUAUGAAACCAGUACUGUCCAGAUUAGGGCAGCAAAAUCAGGAAUUCAGCCACCCACCCUACAGGUGCAGACCCGCAGCUCCGAUGAGCCCAUGACCACUUAUGUUGUCUGCAACGAGUGUGGGAACCGCUGGAAGUUCUGCUGAACCCUUGUACUGAUGUGUUGUAGUCCUGGCCAUGGCCAGCAUU